rnacentral:sRNA from 1 species
AUCCACAAUAAAGCAAUGGGUGCAAAU